GCCAGCGUAGCGCAAUUGGUUAGCGCACUCGACGGGCGAUCGAAAGGAGCGUGGUUCGAGUCCCGCCGCUGGCU